AAAGUAUCUCUUUGUCCUGCUGUGUAAGCUCUCGGGGAAGUUUGUCAUAAGAGGUCCCAACUGCCUUCCUAAGGGGCCUUUGUCGUCUCAACCUUUGUUGCUUGCCUUUACUUUCUUAGGCUAUUUUUGGGAGUGAAUUUUCUGGAUCUCUUUUGGGGAUGCCUCUUUGUCCUUGGUUAAGCUUUGGUUGAGUCACUGUUAAGACCCUACUCGUCAAUUCGGCCAGACGAUGGAUCAUUUAAAUUCGGAAAACUUCUAAAUUGGGGAAAAAAUUGUGAGCGCUCUCAUCAUAAUUUUUAUUGGUAUCUAUGAAAAACGGCCAAAUUAAAAAGGAAACACAGAAAAUGGUAACUAGGUUUAAACCCGGACUAAGGUUAUACUUGAAUUGGUGAAAUAUGAAGGUCUAAGUGUUCAUAAGAUUGUAAAGGUUGGAAUGCUCGAGCUGAUUUUCUUUUUAUGAAGAGGUUAUAUCAACUUUGCCUGAGUAUGUUUUAAAAUGUCUGACUGGGAAUACUUCCUUAUGCGAUAAAUUAAGACCUGUUAAGUCCUGGCCAUGGGCUCUGUCGCCAUCCUGCAGCUCUUCACUGCCCAUAGGCCCUGUCGCCAUGCUAUUUGAAUAGAGGAGCGCUACUUCCAGGCCUUGAGCCCAGGAAGUCUUUCUUUUGACUCCUUGGCUUGCUGAGCCAGCUUGCUUCACCAGCUUGUCAGCUGAAGUUGUAGUUUUCCUUGUGCCUUUGUCUUUUUCAAGGAUGGAUCUAAAUUCACUGCUCCAUCGGGAACUUUCUCAGACAGCUGUAUGAAUCCACGUUUGCUGCCCAUGGCUACUCUAUGGGGCAAAUCGUGGCAUUCAGCCUGAAGAGAAUCAGUACCUUAAGCCUGAGGGUGAUGGAAAAUGAAUUAAUCCAUUCCUUCCUGACUCUAUCUCUAAUAGACAAAUUUUACAUGGGCAUGGGUCAGCCACUUAAGUCAUUAGGACAGCCGCCAAUCUCCAAGACUCCUGUGGAAGGUUUCUUUUCCUAAGGCUGGAUUGGGAUCCCUUCCUCUGGCACCUGACCAUGCUCUGAACUGCAGGAAAAGUCCCAAUCGGGACUCCAGUUCAAGGAAAGUACCAAACUCUAACCUUUGUUUGAAUAUGGGAACCCCUUCUUGGGAGAACGGCUCCAGGACUCAAUUGGGUAGAAUGUCCCCCAGACCGGCGGAAAAUUCCUCACUGUUUUUCUCUGUUCUUUUAUCUUUGGGAAAAUUCACCUGGCACUUAUGACUGCCGGGCAUAAUAGGGAAGGUAUACAAGGUAUGCAAGGCAGAGGGACCCCCUCAUCGCCCCUUGCUAUAGGAACCCCACAGGCAGAACAAGUAGGACACUGCCCUAGGUUCAGGAGAUUUUCAAGCUAAUGGACCCUUUUCUUUCCUCUCUCUUAAAGUGACAGUGACCAUUUUUUGGGCUCCUUUUGAGUUUUGCAACUGAGAAACAAAGAAAUCUUUAAAGUGUUAAAGGCUCCACCCCUGGGAGCCCCCACUCUGGUUUCCGGGCCUGAUCACCCUGGCAACCAUGUGGGGAGCCCUCUCUUGGCAAUUGACUCAUUAAGCAUUUAGAUGCCUACUGAGUUGGUUAUGAGGAUAGGAGAUCUGUGAUUUAUUCUAUGAACUGUCCUGAUAGUGUUGUGUGCCCCGGCACGGGAACUGCUGUGUGACCUCUAUCUCGAUAACCCUUGGGGAAGAGGCCAUGAGGGUGAGGCCUGAUCUCUUUUCCUUUGUUCUCCAGGCCUUUGCCUCCUGCUUCCCUGCCUGGCUCACCUGUGCUGGCUCAGGGACUAAGUGCCCUGGGCUAAGUGGGAUUUGACUAGAUCUUAUAACUAUGUUGAUGUCUGCAGUCAGGUGCCUUUGCACUCUUUCUCUGGCCUUGUCAGUUGGACACCAGCCUUACCGCCAUGAGGAAUGCCUUAACCCAGAGACUCACCCCUGGGUGCAUUUUAACUAGUUGGAAACACUUUCAAUUGGAUGGUUUAUGCCCCAGAAACUCCAGCUUGGAGAAAACUUGAGGAGUUUCUCUGUGCCUUUGUGAUGUAGUUGGACAGGUAGGUCAAUCUAGAAUGUCAUUGAGUUAAAACCCAGUAACUUCCAACUGUCCUUGGAAAAUCCUUGCAAGACUGGAAAUACAGCUCUAGAGGCAGUUCAGAUUCCACCCAGUUCCUUUAUUUCAAAAUGGAUUAUCAUCUCCCCUCUCCAGGAACUACUAUCUAGCCCAUCACUAAUUACUAAGACUGAAGAAAAAAAAAAGAGGGGAAAGGUCAUAAGUGUGCCCUUGCCGAGAAAAAACUGUGGGAAAAGUCCCAAUUGGGACUCCAGUUCAAGGAAAGUACCAAACUCUAACCUUUGGUUGAAUAUGGGAACCCCUUCUUGGGAGAAUGGCUCCAGGACUCAAUUGGGUAGAAUGUCCCCCAGACCGGCGGAAAAUUCCUCACUGUUUUUCUCUGUUCUUUUAUCUUUGGGACAAUUCACCUGGCACUUAUGACUGCCGGGUGUUACCAGAUAGAAUAAAGAUUGCAGUAGAAUGAGAAAUGCUCAAGAAGUAAGAAAAUGAUGUGGCUCCUGUUUGUCUGAGGGUAGUUCUCUGGAGGAGGCAGCUGUGAACUGGUUGAAGACAAAACUCAGAAAAGCUAUGGGAAGAGUGCACUGGCAAGGGCUGAUUGACAUGGCUUGCAUUGCAUAGUAAAAUGUCACUUACUCAUAGCAAAACUACUCAACAGAGAUGGGCCUGCCCUAGCAAGAAGAGAGGGGUGUUUCCAGAAGAUAUUCACAUUUGAAUCAGCAGACUGAGUAAAGAAGAUUGCCCUCACCAAUGCAGGUGGGCAUCAACCCAUCCACUGAGGGACUGAAUAGAACAAAGACAUGGAGGAAGGACAAAUUUACCAUCUGCGUGAGCUGAGACAUCCAUCCUCUCUUGCCCAUAGAUGUCGGCGCUUCUGGUUCUUGGGCCUUUGGGUUUGGAUUGGAACUACAUCACCAGCUUUCUUGGGUCUCCAGCUUGCUGACAGCAGAUGGUGGGAUUCCUCAGUCUCCAUAAUUACGUGAGCCAAUCGCUCAUAAUAAAUCUCUUUCUAUAUAUCUCCCCUCAUAUCUUAUUGGUUCUGUUUCUCUGGAGGACUCUGACUACUACCAUAGGCAAGUGGAUAUUCAAGUCUAGAACUGAAAGACCAUGCCUAAGUGGAUAAAAACUUGGAAAUCAUCAGCAUAUAAAUGAUACUUGAAACGACAGACUGGAUGAGAUCACCUCAGAGUCAAGUCUAGAGAAGAGAAAGAGACCCAGGAUGAGACCUGAUGAUAUUAUUCAAAUCUGUAUCUUAGCUUUCUUUUCAGUUUCAUUGAUCUUAUUAUUAUGAUAGUAAGAUAGUAUUUUAAUUAUAAUAGCUCUAUAGCAAGGCUUUAUACCUAUGAAAACAAAUCAUUACCUAUUACUUUUCUUUUUAAAGUAUUUUUGCAUUUCUUCCCAUCUAUACUUUCUAACAUAUAAACUUUUGUAUCACUUUACAAAAUCAAAAACUUCCUUUUUCUAUAUGAUACUAGUUAUGAUUGUGAAAGUUGGGUAUAAAAUGCAAUAACGUUGACAUUUAUUUGAUAUCACUGACAAACAAUUUUUGAGCUAGGCAAGUUAUUAG
rnacentral:lncRNA from 1 species